GAGUUUGAUCGUGGCUCAGAUUGAACGCUGGCGGCAGGCCUAACACAUGCAAGUCGAGCGGUAGAGAGAAGCUUGCUUCUCUUGAGAGCGGCGGACGGGUGAGUAAUGCCUAGGAUCUGCCUGGUAGUGGGGAUAACGUUCGGAAACGGACGCUAAUACCGCAUACGGUCCUACGGGAGAAAGCAGGGGACCUUCGGGCCUUGUCGCUAUCAGAUGAGCCUAGGUCGGAUUAGCUAGUUGGUGAGGUAAUGGCUCACCAAGGCGACGAUCCGUAACUGGUCUGACGAGGAUGAUCAGUCACACUGG
rnacentral:rRNA from 1 species